AUACGUAGGGGGCUAGCGUUAUCCGGAAUUACUGGGCGUAAAGGGUGCGUAGGUGGUUUCUUAAGUCAGAAGUGAAAGGCUACGGCUCAACCGUAGUAAGCUUUUGAAACUAAGAGACUUGAGUGCAGGAGAGGAGAGUAGAAUUCCUAGUGUAGCGGUGAAAUGCGUAGAUAUUAGGAGGAAUACCAGUUGCGAAGGCGGCUCUCUGGACUGUAACGGACACUGAGGCACGAAAGCGUGGGGAGCAAACAGGAUUAGAUCCCCUGGUAGUCCACGCCGUAAACGAUGAGUACUAGCUGUCGGGGGUUACCCCCCUCGGUGGCGCAGCUAACGCAUUAAGUACUCCGCCUGGGAAGUACGCUCGCAAGAGUGAAACUCAAAUGAAUUGACGGGG
rnacentral:rRNA from 1 species